rnacentral:rRNA from 1 species
GAUGAACGCUGGCGGCGUGCCUAAUACAUGCCAGUCGAGCGAACAGACGAGGAGCUUUCUCCUCUGACGUUAGCGACGGACGUGUGAGUCACACGUGGAUAACCUACCUAUAAGACUGGGAUAACUUCGGGAAACCGGAGCUAAUACCGGAUAAUAUAUUGAACCGCAUGGUUCAAUAGUGAAAGACGGUUUUGCUGCCACUUAUAGCUGGAUCCGCGCCUCAUUAGCUAGUUGGUAAGGUAACGGCUUACCAAGGCAACGAUGCGUAACCGCCCUGAUAGGGUCACCGGCCACCCUGGCACUCAGCAACCGCCCCGACUCCGACGGGAGGCAGCAGUAGGGAAUCUGCCCCAAGGGGCGAAAGCCUGACGGAGGCACGCCGCGUGAGUGACGAAGGUCUACGAAACGUUAAACACUUGUAGCUGGGAAGAACAAAUGUGAGAGUAACUAUGCAGUUCUGGACGGUACCUACUCAGUAAGGCACGGCUAACUACGUG